GCCUUCUGUGUUGGGUUGGGGUUUUCUAGAAGCGUACGUGGAGUCGAAAACUCAGGCGCAAGUGAGUUUUUGAGGCAAGGCUCCAGAAGCCUCCCAGGAGAAACUAACAAGGAGAAGGGGAAGCAGGAUAGGGAAGAGGCCAAGCAAUGGAGGAGGCGUCAGGAAAAAGACUUUGGCGGCUACCCUGGAGCCCUCUUCUGGGCUGUUGAGGAGAAAUCAAAUGCAGCAGCCUCACAGGCCAGGGCCCCACCACGGCCUGAGGAGCCAUGUCUGUGUGCACAUCAAUUACAUAGGCCCCACCUGGGCAGGGAUUGGCUCUCAUGGUGAUACCUGGAACAGAACCCACUCUGGAAAGAUGUCAGCUCUUUAGGGAAUGUGGCUCAACUUUGGCAGCAAAUGAAAGGCAUGAAGUUGGUCACGGAAGGCGCUUGGCCAGUGAGGGCUCUCCAGCAUGAAGGCUAAUUUGCAGAAGUAAUAAAAUAGCUAAUUCAUUUAUCAGGAA